CAUUUCAAAUGAAUUUUGUCUCUGGCCGAUUUUUGAUGCGGCUUAGGCCCUUUUGCCGAGAUACAAUAGAAUUCGCUCUCGUCCAAUCGCUGUUCUGUCACGACCGGUUAUGCGGCAGCUAGCUUCAGUGCAAUCGCCAACGAAUCGAGCUGCUAGAGUACCGUAAAAAUGGGAACAUCGAUGUCCAAAAAAGAGCAGCGAGCCGCGGAUAUUCGAAAUUCUUUGUCAUUUUACAACCGAAAACAUGAUCCAUGGGGGUCUGAUCAUCGAGCAGCGGCUGUGUUCAGUGGUGUUCAGCGGAACAAUCGUCGUCGAUCGGGUUCCGCCGGUCGCGGUUGCUUGGGCUGGUUAGUUGUGUUACUGGCAGUCGGAGCAUCUGUCUGGUAUACAAGGAGGUGGAUGAAGCAAAGAACACAAGAGUUUUCUGCUUAUUUCCCGAUGUCCACAGUAAUUUGGCGAGAUGAUUCCCCGCUCGCGCAGUACGUGAGCUUCACGCUCAAUUAUUGUGUUUCGUUGUGGCAGAGCUUGGUGCAACUUUGGAAAGAAAAGCUUUCAGAUAUGACAAAUAAACUGACAAGGUGGUUUUAAUGGUACCGACACAAUUUGGUUGUGAUUAUGUCCGCGGACUGGGUCGUCUAUUUAUGUUAAGUAAAUACAUCGUAUUUCUAUUUUGUUUCGUUAAAAUUUAA